rnacentral:rRNA from 1 species
UACGUAGGGUGCAAGCGUUGUCCGGAAUUAUUGGGCGUAAAGAGCUCGUAGGCGGUUUGUCGCGUCGAAUGUGAAAACCCCGGGGCUCAACCCCGGGCCUGCAUUCGAUACGGGCAGACUAGAGUUCGGUAGGGGAGGUCUGGAAUUCCUGGUGUAGCGGUGAAAUGCGCAGAUAUCAGGAGGAACACCGGUGGCGAAGGCGGUUCUCUGGGCCGAUAUUGACGCUGAGGAGCGAAAGACGUGGGGAGCGAACAGGA